UUCACUCUCGAAGCUCAUACCCUGGAAAUCUGGUUGAUCUUUACGGUGCUAAUGGACCCGGAUCUUGCUCUUCGACUGCAGACCAACACUGCUACCCACCUGAAACUGCCUUCUGUAGGAGUAAUUGAUAAAACUAUUAUCUCUUCGAAUUGUCUCACUGAUUUCUGAGGCUGUUCCAGAAUAAGUGGUCCGCGGGCUGCAGUUUUUCUCUCUUCGAAAAGCUACAUUUUCAAGUAUUCAAGCCACAGCCCUUCUAGACAUUUCACUGCCGUCGCAGCUUCAGCCUUGUGUAAUUUACGACCGUUCGAGGGCCUAAGAGGACAGCAGCUAGGGGCGGGAUGACUGCAGGACUGUAAGGAGACUCCGCUAGAGGUUUCCAACUCUAUGGGAACCAUCGUCUCUCCUCUCGCGUUGCCUGUCCUAGUGUCCCUUUGGCCCUAAUGGAGAAGAGGCUCGGCGGACUACUUCGGAGCCUCUUGUGAGAAAAAGGAAGCCGCGCGCAACAGGGCAAAAUGGCCACAAAUCUCUCCCCCUCUGCUUUUGGCCCACAGAGCGGGCGGGACGUGAAAGUCCAUUCUGUGCAUGUUUCCUCUGAAGAAAGACCCUGCGUACUCCCAGUCCACACACAGCUCAUGGAUGCAGUAUGAGUCAACUAACAUGGCCAUCUGAAGGUACAACUUCUGGUGUAGUCCUAGGAUGUAAAAAAAUUGUAUUUGCAACUAACCAACCCGUUAUCCUUGUUAUCAAAGUGCUUCUAAUUUUUUUAAUUCAACAAAUUGGCUUGCAUAUUUUUCAAUAAACCUUAUUCAUUGCUGCUCUUUA